rnacentral:rRNA from 1 species
GGAUUAGAUACCCUGGUAGUCCACGCCGUAAACGAUGUCAACUAGCCGUUGGGAGCAUUUUGGCUCUUGGUGGCGCAGCUAACGCGAUAAGUUGACCGCCUGGGGAGUACGGUCGCAAGAUUAAAACUCAAAGGAAUUGACGGGGGCCCGCACAAGCGGUGGAGCAUGUGGUUUAAUUCGAUGCAACGCGAAGAACCUUACCUGCCCUUGACAUCCUGGGAACUCUCUAGAGAUAGAGAGGUGCCUUCGGGAACCCAGUGACAGGUGCUGCAUGGCUGUCGUCAGCUCGUGCCG